GGCAGUGUGGCCUAGUGGUUAGAGUGUUGGACUAGGACCUUGGGAGAUCAGGGUUCAAAUCCCUACUUUUCCA